CUAGUCUUUCCCCGUAUUUGAACCCACCUCUAUUAGUUCAAUUGCUUUGGUAUAUUGAAGCUUAAACUCAACGAGAACAAUAAUUCAUCACCUUAUAUAUGACUUAUAUUAGGCCUAUUGUAUUUUCUUGAAUUAUUGUGAAAUUUGUUUGAUUUAUUUGGAUAUGUUGUCAUAUCUUCCAUAUUUCCAUAAUUCUUCUUAAAA
rnacentral:lncRNA from 1 species